CGAGCGUUAAUCGGAAUUACUGGGCGUAAAGCGCAUGCAGGUGGUUUGUUAAGUCAGAUGUGAAAGCCCGGGGCUCAACCUCGGAAUUGCAUUUGAAACUGGCAGACUAGAGUACUGUAGAGGGGGGGUAGAAUUUCAGGUGUAGCGGUGAAAUGCGUAGAGAUCUGAAGGAAUACCGGUGGCGAAGGCGGCCCCCUGGACAGAUACUGACACUCAGAUGCGAAAGCGUGGGGGAGCAAACAGGAUUAGAUACCCUGGUAGUCCACGCCGUAAACGAUGUCUACUUGGAGGUUGUGGCCUUGAGCCGUGGCUUUCGGAGCUAACGCGUUAAGUAGAC
rnacentral:rRNA from 1 species